rnacentral:rRNA from 1 species
GUGACGAAGCGACGCCGCGUGUGGGAAGAAGGCCUUCGGGUUGUAAACCACUGUCGGGAGUUAAGAAAUACAAGGAUAUUAAUAGUGUCUUUGUUUGACUAAGGCUCCGGAGGAAGCCACGGCUAACUCUGUGCCAGCAGCCGCGGUAAUACAGAGGCGGCAAGCGUUGUUCGGAAUUAUUGGGCGUAAAGAGCACGUAGGCGGCUAUGUAAGUCGGUUGUGAAAGCCUUCCGCUCAACGGAAGAACAGCAUCCGAUACUACAUGGCUUGAGUGCGGGAGGGGAGAGUGGAACUUCUGGUGGAGCGGUGAAAUGCGUAGAUAUCAGAAGGAACGCCGGCGGCGAAAGCGGCUCUCUGGCCCAUAACUGACGCUGAGUGUGCGAAAGCUAGGGGAGCAAACGGGAUUAGAUACCCCGGUAGUCCUAGCCGUAAACGAUGGGCACUAAGUAGAGGGGUUUU